rnacentral:rRNA from 1 species
GUCGAGCGGUAGCACAGAGAGCUUGCUCUCGGGUGACGAGCGGCGGACGGGUGAGUAAUGUCUGGGAAACUGCCUGAUGGAGGGGGAUAACUACUGGAAACGGUAGCUAAUACCGCAUAACGUCGCAAGACCAAAGUGGGGGACCUUCGGGCCUCAUGCCAUCAGAUGUGCCCAGAUGGGAUUAGCUGGUAGGUGGGGUAACGGCUCACCUAGGCGACGAUCCCUAGCUGGUCUGAGAGGAUGACCAGCCACACUGGAACUGAGACACGGUCCAGACUCCUACGGGAGGCAGCAGUGGGGAAUAUUGCACAAUGGGCGCAAGCCUGAUGCAGCCAUGCCGCGUGUGUGAAGAAGGCCUUCGGGUUGUAAAGCACUUUCAGCGGGGAGGAAGGCGGUGAGGUUAAUAACCUCAUCGAUUGACGUUACCCGCAGAAGAAGCACCGGCUAACUCCGUGCCAGCAGCCGCGGUAAUACGGAGGGUGCAAGCGUUAAUCGGAAUUACUGGGCGUAAAGCGCACGCAGGCGGUCUGUCAAGUCGGAUGUGAAAUCCCCGGGCUCAACCUGGGAACUGCAUUCGAAACUGGCAGGCUAGAGUCUUGUAGAGGGGGGUAGAAUUCCAGGUGUAGCGGUGAAAUGCGUAGAGAUCUGGAGGAAUACCGGUGGCGAAGGCGGCCCCCUGGACAAAGACUGACGCUCAGGUGCGAAAGCGUGGGGAGCAAACAGGAUUAGAUACCCUGGUAGUCCACGCUGUAAACGAUGUCGAUUUGGAGGUUGUGCCCUUGAGGCGUGGCUUCCGGAGCUAACGCGUUAAAUCGACCGCCUGGGGAGUACGGCCGCAAGGUUAAAACUCAAAUGAAUUGACGGGGGCCCGCACAAGCGGUGGAGCAUGUGGUUUAAUUCGAUGCAACGCGAAGAACCUUACCUGGUCUUGACAUCCACAGAACUUUCCAGAGAUGGAUUGGUGCCUUCGGGAACUGUGAGACAGGUGCUGCAUGGCUGUCGUCAGCUCGUGUUGUGAAAUGUUGGGUUAAGUCCCGCAACGAGCGCAACCCUUAUCCUUUGUUGCCAGCGGUUAGGCCGGGAACUCAAAGGAGACUGCCAGUGAUAAACUGGAGGAAGGUGGGGAUGACGUCAAGUCAUCAUGGCCCUUACGACCAGGGCUACACACGUGCUACAAUGGCAUAUACAAAGAGAAGCGACCUCGCGAGAGCAAGCGGACCUCAUAAAGUAUGUCGUAGUCCGGAUUGGAGUCUGCAACUCGACUCCAUGAAGUCGGAAUCGCUAGUAAUCGUAGAUCAGAAUGCUACGGUGAAUACGUUCCCGGGCCUUGUACACACCGCCCGUCACACCAUGGGAGUGGGUUGCAAAAGAAGUAGGUAGCUUAACCUUCGGGAGG